GCCUACGGGAGGCAGCAGUAGGGAAUCUUCCACAAUGGGCGAAAGCCUGAUGGAGCAACGCCGCGUGGGUGAAGAAGGUCUUCGGAUCGUAAAACCCUGUUGUUAGAGAGGAAAGUGCGUGAGAGUAACUGUUCACGUUUCGACGGUAUCUAACCAGAAAGCCACGGCUAACUACGUGCCAGCAGCCGCGGUAAUACGUAGGUGGCAAGCGUUAUCCGGAUUUAUUGGGCGUAAAGAGAACGCAGGCGGUCUUUUAAGUCUGAUGUGAAAGCCUUCGGCUUAACCGUAGUAGUGUAUUGGCAACU
rnacentral:rRNA from 1 species